rfam:Otolemur garnettii contig186066, whole genome shotgun sequence.
CAAACAGAUGAACUCAUUGAUGGGCAGACAGAGACUGUGCUGAUUGUCAUGUUCUGUUGUG